rnacentral:rRNA from 1 species
AUUGAACGCUGGCGGCAUGCUUUACACAUGCAAGUCGAACGGUAACAGGGUGCUUGCACCGCUGACGAGUGGCGAACGGGUGAGUAAUGCGUCGGAACGUGCCGAGUAGUGGGGGAUAACGCAGCGAAAGUUGUGCUAAUACCGCAUACGUACUGAGGUAGAAAGUGGGGGACCUUCGGGCCUCACGCUAUUCGAGCGGCCGACGUCUGAUUAGCUAGUAGGUGAGGUAAAGGCUCACCUAGGCGACGAUCAGUAGCGGGUCUGAGAGGAUGAUCCGCCACACUGGGACUGAGACACGGCCCAGACUCCCACGGGAGGCAGCAGUGGGGAAUUUUGGACAAUGGGCGAAAGCCUGAUCCAGCAAUGCCGCGUGUGUGAAGAAGGCCUUCGGGUUGUAAAGCACUUUUGUCCGGAAAGAAAUGGCUCUGGUUAAUACCUGGGGUCGAUGACGGUACCGGAAGAAUAAGGACCGGCUAACUACGUGCCAGCAGCCGCAGUAA